CGCCGAAACCGAAGUCAUAGCCACACUCAAGAAUGGGCAGAAAGCUUGUCUCAACCCCGCAUCCCCCAUGGUUCAGAAAAUCAUCGAAAAGAUACUGAACAAGGGGGGCACCGACUGACAGGAGUGAAGUAAGAAGCUUAUCAGCCUGACAUUGACACUUCCUGCAGGAUGAUCCCUGCCCUUACCAGAGCUGAAAAUGAAAAAGAGAACAGCUGCUUUCUAGGGACACCUGGAAAGGACUUAAUGUGUUUGACUAUUUCUUAUGAGGGUUCUACUUAUUUAUGUACUUAUUUAUUUAUGAAAGCUUGUAUUUUAAUAUUUUACAUGUUGUUAUUUAAAGAUAUGAGUGUGUUUCAUCAAACAUAGCUCAGUCCUGAUUAUUUAAUUGGAAUAUGAUGGGUUUUAAAUGUGUCAUUAAACUCCUAUUUAGUGGGAGACCAUAAUGUGUCAGGCACCUUGAUAAAUGAUAGGGUGGAGAAUUGGAGGGCUGGGGGUUGGAAUGUAAGCAAUGAGUGGAUCACUGUUAGGGUAAGGGAAUGUACGUGCACAUCUAUAUUUUUAUACUUUUUUUUAAAAAAAAAGAAUGUCAGUUGUUAUGUAUUGAAAUUAUCUCACAUUAUGUGUUCAGCAUUUUUAUGCUGAAGUUUCCCUUGGACAUUCUAUGUCU